rnacentral:misc_RNA from 1 species
UUUCCGUAGGUGAACCUGCGGAAGGAUCAUUAUUGUAUAACCGAGGUACAAGGGCUUUCUCUGACCCGAUAGGGCUUUCACGCCCUAGUACCCUCAGAGACAUGCAUCUGAACCCUAUAUGCAACACCUCGUGGUUCCCCCUUUGUCUUGCUCGCCUGUGGUCUUAUGUUUUCACACAUACUUUGUAUUCAGUGUAGAGUUUAUUUUUUUUUUUUUCGAUCGCUCAGUCAUUACAACUUUUGACAACGUAUCUCUUGGAUCUAGCUGCGAUGAAGAACU